rfam:Picea glauca, whole genome shotgun sequence.
UUAUGUACAUUCCUAUACUAUUAAUGCACCAUAUCCCAUAAUAAAUAUUUAUUUAAGAGCGCAUGGGAUAGAUUAGUAAUAGGAUGGGUGACCUCCUAGGAAGUCCUAGUGUUUUACAUGGC